CAACUUGAGAGUUUGAUCCUGGCUCAGAAUCAACGCUGGCGGCGUGCCUCAUACAUGCAAGUCGAACGCGAACGCGGCCUUCGGGCCGCAAGUAGAGUGGCAGACGGGUGAGUAACGCGUGGGUGACCUGCCUUCGAGUGGGGGAUAACCUUCCGAAAGGGGGGCUAAUACCGCAUAACAUCCCGCCCUUGG
rnacentral:rRNA from 1 species